ensembl:lncRNA
AGUCACGACAGCAAGGGAUGAGACUGGAGGCAGAGGAGCAGUUUUAGAAGGUGUCAAGACAAGCCCGAGGGGACUAGUGUGGACGGCCUGAGCUUCUUAAAGAUGGAGUGUUUGAACCUGGCCUUUUCUCAAAGCUGCACCGGGCCUUAGUUGCAUCAUGCGAGACCAGGUAUUGAACCCAGGCCCUCUGCACUGGGAAGAGGAGUUUUAGCCACUGGAUCACCAGGGAAGUCCCUUUUCCUCCUAAUUUUUGUUUUUACAACCUGCUUUGUCUGCCAAAGAACUGAUGCUUUCAAACUGUGGUGCUGGAGAAGACUCUUGAGAGACCCUUGGACUGCAAGGAGAUCAAACCAGUUAAUCUUAAAGGAAAUCAUUCCUGAAUACUCAUUGGAAAGACUGAUGCUAAAGCUGAAGCUCCAAUCCUUUGGACACCUGAUGCAAAGAACUGACUCAAUGGAAAAGACUGAUGCUGGGCAAGAUUGAAGGCAGGAGGAGAAGGGGACGACAGAGGAUGAGAUGGCUGGAUGGCAUCACUGACUCAAUGGACAUGAACUUGGGCAAACUCUGGGAGAUGGUGAGGGACAGAGAAACCUGGCAUGCUGCAGUCCAUGGGGUGGCAGGCCAUGGAGUUGGACACAAACUGGCAACUCAACAACUGCAACACUGUCUGUCUUUCUCUAAGUCUUGCUGCAAAGAUAGCAGAUAUCUUCCCUCUGUUCCCUAUGUAUCUUACCUUUUCCUAUAAAGCCUGAAUGUCUUCAUUUUUCUCUGAGCUCCACGAAUAUUUCUUUGACAUUCUCCAGGCUCUUAAAUCUAUUUUCUGCAAGGAUCACCAUUGUUCAUUGUUUUAUAUAAUAGAUUUAUUUAAGUUCUAUUUAUGAUUAUCUAACCUUGGGAAGAUCAGAAAUAAAGAAUGCAAAUGUGAGAGUAGAUAGGGUAUUUUUCAAUAGAUUAUUGCAUUUUUCCCCUCAAGGAAGAAUUAAAAGAAAAAUCAUGUGGCCAUGUGUGUAUUAGAUAUUAAGUGUGUUUUAAUUUGAAAUGUGCAAUAAAUCACUGAAACCUGCAGGAAGGCUUGUGGGGAGUGAAAUACAUGGCCAGUACAUUAUUUGGAUUAGUCCCGAAAUCAUAGUGUAAUAUUCUUCUAAGGGCUUUUUAAAUACAUCCAUUAUAUUUUUUAUCCCUAAGAACAAUUUCUUCUUUCCAUCAAAUGAAAUUCUUUUAUGAUUCUCUAUUUAUGGUUUAUUGACUUAAUGUCCUCUGGGUUUUCAUUGAAUAUUAU